UCCCGACCUCCGCCGUGGCGGCUCCCGCCUCUUCGAGGGAGGCGCCUGCCGGGCCAGCCCCUCACCGCGACGCGGGGCCGCACGUGCGCCGCCCAGCGGUCGGGGUGGGUGGUGCACGCGGCCCGCAGGCGGCGAGGGCCGCCCCGCGCGGUCGCAGUGGAGGCGGCGCGUCACCGGUUUGGGUCGCGCUCAGAGGGGCACGGCCGGCGGCCGAAGCCGGUAGAAGAGCGCCGAGAAGCCGGGAGUGCGGGGAGAAGAGGCCCCGGGAGCAGAGACUGUCCGCAGAGGCCAGUGGCGACCUCGCCCCGGGCCGCGGCGUCCCGCACGCGCAGAGCAGAGUCCCGCGAAUGCGCUUGUGCCGAAGCAGCCGGACGGGCUAAACGGUGCUCGCCGGCCCGACGGUAGAUGGUGGCUGCGCCGUCGCCUCGGGCCACGAGCUCAGGGUGCGGGGAUCGAGGCCCGCGCCGGGCUCCCUGCUCAGUCUGAGUCCGCUCCCCCGUCUCUCCCCCUGCGCGCUCUCGCGCUCUCUCGCGCUCGCAAAUAAAAUAAAAUCUUUAAAAAAACAA